rnacentral:rRNA from 1 species
UUGAACGCUGGCGGUAGGCCUAACACAUGCAAGUCGAGCGCUACCUUCGGGUGGAGCGGCGGACGGGUUAGUAACGCGUGGGAAUAUACCCAGUUCUAAGGAAUAGCCACUGGAAACGGUGAGUAAUACCUUAUACGCCCUUCGGGGGAAAGAUUUAUCGGAAUUGGAUUAGCCCGCGUUAGAUUAGAUAGUUGGUGGGGUAAUGGCUCACCAAGGCUACGAUCUAUAGCUGGUCUGAGAGGACGAUCAGCCACACUGGAACUGAGACACGGUCCAGACUCCUACGGGAGGCAGCAGUAGGGAAUCUUGG